rnacentral:tRNA from 1 species
UGGGUUGUAGCUCAGUGGUAGAGCACUUGCCUAGCAUGUGAGGCACUGGGUUUGACUCUCAGCACCACAU